UCCACAGGGUCCGUUGCUGAGUAGUACAAGUAAGGGAUGCAGGGAGAAUCCGAGGACGACGGACCUUCAAGGACCUGCCAGGUGUAGAUAAAGGUUUCCCCCGGACCAACGUGGGCGCCAGGCUUGUCAACACCUUAUUCACGGAAAGAACUGAAAUCAGGAAAUACAAUAGAGCGAUUCACGUCGGUCGCCAUCUGGCCCACAGAACUGUAGCUGAGUGAUUCAGACUCGCUUCACGAACCUACAAGAACUGACUGGUUGUCGCUGAGGACGUGAAUCACGUUCGCGCUGCACUCACUCACUUAUUCAGAAUUGGGACUCGCGAUUCACGAACCUACUGACACAGAGAACUGACUGUGUCGCAGAGAAGGACGUCACAUUGAGGCUCUCGUUCAGUCACUCAGUUAAUUGGGUGCUGAGGGCUUGGGUCGUUCGCGAACUGACACACACCGAGAUCUGCCGCUGGGGAAGCUGUUACUGACUGACUCAUGAUUCGCCGACCUGCAAACAGAACUGCUGCUGCAGAAGUGAUUCGGUGAACAAAAUUUUGAACGAAUCAAUUUAAGGAACUGAUUCUAGUGAUUCAGUACAUAAGUAAGACCGCACGCACACAAAUAGGCGCAUCCUGAAAAUAUGGUCAGAGAGAAGGUUGAAAAUGGUCUGUAAAACAAAAUCUAUGCAAAAUUCUGACCAGAGAACCACCCUUACACGUUAUGGAGACCCCAAGGAAGGGUUUUGAAUGUAGAAAAAAAAAAAUCAUAAUAUAUGACCCCUUUAAGAUACUAACAAAUGCAGUUUUUUGCCGUCAUUUAGCUGGUGAUUAUUAGAUAAGGGCAACUACCCCACACUGUGUAUGGACACAUGAUUAGCUGCUAGCUAAAAAAUAAAUACAGUGUCAGCCAGAGGAGACCUGCAUUUGUGUUCGGCAUUAAAAAGCAUUAAUCGGCAAUAGUGAAUACUUACUUUUUUACAAAAAUCCCGUUCCUAAUAUGUAUGGUAUAUUUUAUCCACAUCUCAAUUCACUUGAUGGACACAAUGCUUUUUUUCUGUUGAUGAGUUUGUUUGUUAACUAAAAAACACAACUGAUUUCUGUGAAACUUUGUAAAUGGUUCGAGAAAUUAUUUCCACUUUUGGCUGUUUGAGUCUCUUGAUCUAAGUUUGCUUUGGUUAAGUACUGAGGUUACACUGCUCUUUGAUGAGAUAACUGCUCCAUUGAUCACCAUUAAUUUAAAAUUAGCAUCAGAACUCUUCCUCUAUUGUUUGUUAACCUGCACAACCAUUUACACACUGAUUUUUGAGCAGAUGCUGCAUCUCUUCAGGUACUUCAUUCAUAAAACUGUGCAUCUAUGAUUUAUAAUCAGAACACUUAUAAAUCCAUUGUUUUUUCGUCCGAACUACAUUAUGAGGUUUGUACUUAUUCAAGGUUUUUGCGUUGGGAAAAAAAUGUUGAUUUAUGUCUGUUCUGAAUAUAAAUCCCACCUGCAGGGAUUUGUCUGCAGAAGAGUUCCUCCCCAUUGUCCUCCUACUACUCCGUCCACAAUCAUGCAUAAAUGGUCAUGCUAAUCAUCUCAUGAAUAUGGUAAUGAGAUUAAGAAUUACGUGUUGGACUGUCAAUGAUGCAAGACUGCAACUCCAAAGACAAAAGCAAUAUAUUUUCCAAAUAGCGCCGAGCGCCGUAAAAACAUUUGUUUUGGAGGGCUAAGUGAGGACAUACCUAAUAAAAAAUUAUUGGAAUUUUGAAUGUCAAUAUUUGACCAAUCAAGAUGUCAGAUCCACAAUGACUGAGAACUGUUACUGAGAUGAGGACAACAUGUUCACAUUUUAAAGCUAUGUUUGAAAGUCUUCGUCCAAAUAAUGGAUCUAUUAUUUAUAAGUAUUUAUUUUGUCAAGUAAUACAACGCAGACAUUGUGUUGCAAGACUUAAGUAUUCAUCAUGAGCAUUUGGCAUGCAGACGGGAUUAUUUCAAUAUAUUAUUGGCACAAUAAAUAUGUUUUUUCUACAA